UUACCUGCUGGCUGCUUCCAUGUUAAUGUGCUAAUCAGCCGGCCUGGAUCCACUGCUGCUGGUGGUGUGCUGGACUUCACUUCUGCUAACACACUCAAACCUUUGCUCACCACAGGAGGAGCACACCUGAAUCCAGUUCAGACCCUGCAGAUUUACACGAUGAUAAAACUCCUGAAUCAAGUCAAACAGCAGUGGGAACAAGUGGGAUUAUCUCCUCCCACUGGCAGAUUUGUUACCCUGUUUGAAGAAAAUCCAGAUUUUGGCGCUGAUCAGGAGACGAAACGACUUGUUCGGCUGGGGUUUUUAUUUUUGUACUGUGAGUCUCUCUCCCUUGCUGUGGAUGGUGAACAAAACCCUGCCUUGUAAUACACACCGCACAUCACAAGAUGGCAGCAAGGCCACGCCGGGGAGGAGAGUGUCUCUGAGGCUGCAAAUCCCAGGCUCCUCUCAAACCUCAACCGAUGACAUAAUCCUACUGCCGAUGAAAAGGAGGGAAUUCUGUUUGAAAUCCAAGAAGAUGGAGAGGAUACGGAAGGCUGGUGGCAGAGAAAAAAGGAAAAACGGAGAUAAAGACGGAGGCAGGCAGGAAGUGAUGAAGCCACAGAUUGAGGGGAAAAUAAAGAUUGAGGGAGA